AUGGAGGGCGAAUGCCGGGCGCUCUCCAUCCAGAGCCAUGUUGUCCUCGGCUACGUGGGUAACAGAGCGGCCAUGUUUCCUCUGCAGGUUUUGGGAUUUGACGUUGAUGCUGUGCAGUUUUCAAACCACACAGGCUAUGCCCAUUGGAAGGGCCAGGUGCUGAAGCCCCAGGAACUGCAUGAGCUGUACGAGGGUCUCAAGGUGAACAGCGUCAAUAAGUAUGACUACGUGCUCACUGGUUACACGAGAGACAAGUCUUUCCUGGCCACGGUGGUGGACGUUGUGCAGGAGCUGAAGAAACAGGACUCUCAACUCGUGUAUGUGUGUGACCCUGUGAUGGGCGACAAGUGGAAUGGGGAAGGCUCCAUGUAUGUUCCCCAGGACCUCCUUCCUGUGUACAGGGACAAAGUGGUACCCGUGGCUGACAUCAUCACUCCCAACCAGUUUGAGGCUGAGUUGCUGAGUGGCAGAAAAAUCCACAGCCAGGAAGAAGCCUUUGAGGUGAUGAACUUGCUGCAUUGUAUGGGUUCCGACACUGUGGUCAUCACCAACUCUGACCUGCCCUCCCCUCAGGGCAGCGACUACCUGAUCGCACUGGGCAGUCAGAGGAUUCGGAAGCCUGACGGCUCCACGGUGACCUAGCGCAUCUGGAUGGAGAUGCACAAGGUGGAAGCUGUCUCUGGGGACACCGGGGACCUCUUCGCUGACAUGCUUCUGGUGUGGACACACAAGCACCCGGACAAUCUCAAGGUGGCCUGUGAGAAAACUGUCUGCCAUGCAGCACGUCCUAUAGAGGACCAUCCAGUGUGCGAAAGCUGAAGCAGGAGAAGGACAGAAGCCCAGCCCAGCUCAGCUGGAGCUGAGGAUGGUCCAGAGCAAAAGGGACAUCCAGGACCCCGAGAUCAUCGUGCAGGCCACGGUGCUGUGAGGACCACACACACUCGCCCUGACACACAGCAAGCUGAGGUGUCUGUCUCCAUCCCUGUGAAAA